UACAGAGGUCUCAAGCGUUGUUCGGAUUCAUUGGGCGUAAAGGGUGCGUAGGCGGCGCGGUAAGUCGGGUGUGAAAUCUCGGAGCUUAACUCCGAAACUGCAUUCGAUACUGCUGUGCUUGAGGACUGGAGAGGAGACUGGAAUUUACGGUGUAGCGGUGAAAUGCGUAGAUAUCGUAAGGAAGACCAGUGGCGAAGGCGGGUCUCUGGCCCGGUACUGACGCUGAGGUGCGAAAGCGUGGGGAGCAAACAGG
rnacentral:rRNA from 1 species